GGAGAAACAGUUCCCCUCACAAAGGGCAGCCGGGAGAAAAGCGGCUCAAAGCCGGACGACAAAGAAGAGGGGCGGGGGUUUCUGUGUCUUGCUAACAUUGUGGUAACCAGUGUCUUGCACGGAGAGGGGCUCAGGACAAUGUGUGCAACCAAGGAUUUCAAGAACCCUGCGGUGCUGGACGUGGCCUUUGCUCAUGCUAUUCUUACUGCCUGAAAGGAUCGCGCUGUUCUGGAAAUGGGAAGGUCGUGGGCAGGUUUGGAAAAGAGCAGGCUGAGCGAUUUGGAUUUUAUUGAAUGAGCAGUGGGGAGCCACUGAUGGUUUUGGAACCAGAGACAUUAGUAUGGAUUCAAGGUAGAAUGUGAUGAAGACAUUUAUAGACCCUGAGAAUGCAGAUCACGACACUCCCAAACCUUCACCUUAUAUGCUUCAAAGUGAAAACAGUACCAACUGGUGAAACACAAAACAUCAGAUAUAUUGACUUUGAAAAAACUCAACUCUAUAUCUUCUGAAUGCAAAAUUCUGAAAACAGAAAACAGGAUCCUUUUCCACGCCUGUCUCUACUUUUCCUUCCCAUCCAAGGCUGCCAUGAUCUCUUUCUUCAUUCUCCCCGACAGUUAUAGAAUUUUAUAAGGUUCAAACACAGAGAUCUAACAAAAUUAAGUGGCCAUUGCUCAACUAUACAUUUUCUUCACACAAAACUAGGAGAUGGUUUAGCAUAAUUGCUUCAGAAUAAAUCCUCUCACUUUGGCUGCAGCUUCAGAGAAUGCACUGAGAAUAGCCUCAUAGCGCUGCUAUCGUAUAUCCAAAGUGUCCUUUUUUUUUUAAGAUUUUAUUUUUUAUUUUUUUCAUGUAGUUUCUAUCCCCAACGUGGGGCUCCAGCUCACAAUCCCCAGAUCAAAAGUCACAGGCUGUACCAACUGAGCCAGCCAGGCGCCUCCUAGAGUAUCUUUCUUGAAACCCUUAAAAGUUGAUGACAUUUUAAGGAAAUCUUGGUUUCGUGUAUUGAAUAUAUUAGAUUAGAGCACUCCUAAGUUUGGUGGACAGUAACGAAACUAGUUUGUAAGCCGCAGAAUGCAAUCCUAUUCCAGCACUCAAUUUCAGAACAAGGAUGAGAUUAUUACUACAACUGGUGAGCACUGGGCACCUACCUAAAACCAGCCCAGUCCUUCAUUUUGCCUAAUGCUGAUUUGAAAGCAAAAGGGUAUUGAUUUCACAGGAGUCCUCCAGCCCCAAGCUUUUUUAACAAUUAAAUUAAAUAUGAAAAGGAGCUGACUGAUGGUUUCAUGGAUAAAAAAUGAAACUCAAAAUUAAAUCCGAAAUCUGUCACCACCAGGUCUCUUUAAAACAGAGAAACCCUCUUUACCAUAAAAAUCCUUAUCGUCUUGACCACCAUGCUUUAAUGAAAUACAACUAUUUCUAUGUGGCUCGUUUCAAAUCCCAUAUUAAACAAAGGGGAGAGGUUCCAUUAUCUUUCAGCCUUUAACAUCCCAGGAUAAAUUGGCUGUUUGUCUACUAUUUGUCCGCCACUGUUAGAAAUUAAGUCUUUGUUACUGACAGGGGUAAAUCUUAGCUGGGCAGAUCAAUAGAAUUAUUUCUCUCCUCAGACAGUAGAAGUUAGGAAGAUAAUGAUUAGCAAUGUCAUUAAAAAAAAAAAAAAAAUUCUGCCUUUCAUUAGCAGUUUGUGCUCCAGAAAACGCUUUCUGAGUUGCUGAACAAAAGACAGUUCCUAGGUUGAACAGCUUCACGUGCCAGGGAAAUUUUCUGCAACCCUGAAACCUAAGUGCCUAUCAACAAAACAAAACAAAAAAAGAUUCUAUAUGCAGUCUAGUCUCAGAACCAUAGGAAAGCCUUCAUAAUUAACACUCUUUGAAUCUGUUAUAGGUCAAUGCUAAGCCCUGUGUUACUGCACGGAAGGCCAUCAAUGGCCACACUAUCAGAAGAAGAAGAAAGCACAGGCUACACAAAAUGCUUCCGCAAUAAGAAUAGUAACUCUGCUCUCAGAAAACAGACUGCUCUAGCUGGCUUCACACUUUGGCCCCACGUGGUUUCUUUGGAAACUACUUGUCAUGAAAUUUUAUGAUCUGUUAAAAAAAAAAAAAAAGUGUCAGAAGCUAUCUUCUUACCUACCUCAGAAGGAUGUUGCAAAGAUUAAAAUUAGAUAAUUGUGAAAGUGUUUCUAACUCUCCUUAGGGAAGACUUGGGGGCACGCUUUGUGGAUAAGCUUGUUCUUUGGAACUUUGAAAUACUCGUCAUGAUCCCAUCUCACAGCCCUCUCCCAAUUAAAAGCCCGGGAUUCUGCAUCCUUGGCAACAGACACUUCUGUUGACCCCAUAUAUGUGGAUUUCCCAAAUAUUUCUACCUUCUACUCCAGAGCCCUUCCCACCUAAAUUCCCCAAAUUCUACAUUAUCAAAACCAACUCUCACCUAAGACCUGCAAAACAUUCACAUUCAGUUGUAAGUCACUAGUAUCUGUUUAGGGAGCUACACCCUCCUAAAUAUUUUUACCUCCUAUUCCUCUCCUUCAGACUCUGAUACACCUUCUCUCCCUGUCCUGCUUGUAUAUUCUCUCCCACAACCUAUCAUCCCCAGUGAGCAGAAGAGAGAGGAAAUUCCAUUACUGUUAAAAAUCAUUAUGUAUUAUAAGAGAUGGUCCAACAGGGGUGUGACGCACAUAGGAACGGUUUGGAAGGGAGUGCGGGAAGGCUUUAAGUGAAAUCCUAAGAGUAGAAUUUCGAAUGAAAUUUGAGGGCCAUAAACUCAGGGAACAGGGGGCAUCCCCUGAAGUCACUCACCUUGGGUGCUCCCUGUUCCACCUAGAGGCUAACCUAACCCUGAUUACAGGGCCGCAUGCUUCCAGGCACCGGGGGCUGAGAGGUACAGAACACGGUGAUGGCUUCUCAGGGACGGGCAUGUUUGGUAUACAGCAUUCAGUUGCAGACAACAGAUGCCACCUAUGAGUUAACGUAAGCAGAAGGUACUUAUUUCCAAGUAUUAUGUGGCUUCCUAAAUCGUGGAAAAGUAGAGGAACAGGUGCUGACUGAGCUACGGAGAACAACUUACAACUGCCUGUGCCAUUGUUGGAAGAGUAGCUGCCGUUGCUAUCGGGUGCAAGAGAAUCAGGAAGUGGCUAGUUCUGCACUGUGAUGCCUCUGCCACCGUCUGCUCCAGCAGGAGUGGAUGUUUCUGGUCCUGCUUCUUCCAACACUCUACUCAGUUCCAGAUCCAAGUGUCACGCAAACGCGUCAGUCCAAAAGAACCUAAAUCACAUACGGAAUGCUCACUGUAAGAUGGUCUAGGAAAUGCAGUUUUUGGCUUUCAAGACUCUACGGUACAGAAGUGUUGAACAAUUCACAAAAUCUACUACAUUGUAUUUCUAAUGAGUGAAGCUCCAGUAAGACCGAAGACCAAUCUUGAAGUACUAAAUCCCUUUAUUUACAACUACUUUCUGUGAAACAUUUUUUCAAGGGCUCUCCACUUUUCCCAGCCCCCGAUAAUGAUAAAAAGGACCACAGUCAAUUUAUUUUGUUCUCAAUGAUCCAAAACCAUAACCAUAAACAUCGCUUACUGUGCUGCAAAUACCAGUGUGUAUAUGUGUGUAUAUAUGUGCGUGUAUAUACAUGUAUGUAUAUAUUUAUGUGUGUAUAUAUAUAUAUACAUGGAUGUAUAUAUGAAUAUAUAUAACAAUAUAAGGAGGAAUACUCAUGACUAUUUUAGUCCUCUUUUCUAAAUUUUUUUUUAAUGUUUAUUUUUGAGACAGAGAGAGACAGAGCAUGAACGGGGGAGGGGCAGAGAGAAAGGGAGACACAGAAUCUGAAGCAGGCUCCAGGCUCUGAGCUGUCAGCACAGAGCCCGACGCGGGGCUCAAACUCACGGACCAUGAGAUCAUGACCUGAGCCGAAGUCGGACGCUUAACCAACUGAGCCACCCAGGCGCCCCUUAGUCCUCUUUUCCAUAACUGGUCACAUGGUUGAAGCCGGCAUUUAUAAAACUACCUUCUUCCACUAUCCAUUCCAUAUUCCCUUUGCUUUUAGCGAGCACCUCAACUGGUCAUAGUUCUUUACCUGGUGGGGUGACCUUAACCUUCAUUCCUGAAGGGUCUGAUCCAUUAGAAGUCCUGCCCGGAUUGGGUUGUUGUAGUGUUCUACUGAUAUUAAUCAUAGGGGAUGGUAAUAAUAAGAUGCCCUAAAGGAUCUCCUAUUUUCCUAACAUACUUUUCCUUCCAUCCAUAAGGGAUGGCUCUUCCUAUUUAUCCUAUUGGUAAACAGGAUCAAUCACCCCAGGCAAUACCAUAACUCCCUUCUUUGCCUAUUGAUUCAAAGGUAUGAGGAUCCCAAAGUGGUGGGGUGGCAGUCUUUACUUCCAAUUCAAAAGGAUCAUUGUGUCUCCUGAUGGAAGCAUUCCUCCUUCUGGAACUACUAAGACCUCUAACCCAGCAGAGGCUAAGCUAUGGGAAUAGGAAGCAAAAACUUUUUUUCAGUGGGUCACUAGGUGUAAUAGUGAGUGGUACCACUCCCAUCUUCACCCCUCGAUUUUUGGAUCCGUGAAUCCUAACUAUGAGAGAAAUAGCACCAUAAACUGAAUGCUGAUUCAGAACAUAGGGCAGCCUUCUGGGAAAUUUGCCUCAGCUCUGCAAGGUACUGCCACCUACACAGCACUCUAACUGAGUCUUUGAAAGGCCAUUCUGCUGCUGCUUCAGGAUGGGUGGGGGACAUGACAAGAACAGUGAGUUCCAGAAACAUGGGCCCAUUGCCAUGCUUCUUUUGCUAGGAAGUGAGUUCCUUCAUCAGAAGCAAGCUAUGUGGAUACUGUGAUGGUGGAUGAAGCAUUCUGUAAGUCCACAGAUGGUAGUUUUGGCAGAAGCAUCGUGUACAGUGAAGACAAAUCCAUACCCAGAGUAAGUGUCUAUUCCAGUAAGAACAAAACAUGCCCCUUUCUUUAUGGAGGUGAUCCAAUGCAAUCAACCUGCUACCAGGUGGCUGGCUGAUCACCCCCAGGCAGUGGUGUCACGCCAGGGACUUAGUGUUGGACUCUGCUGCUGGCAGAUUGGACUUGCAGCAGUUGCUAUAAUCAGGUUGGCCUCGGUAAGUGGAAGUCCAUGUUGCUGAGCCCAUGCAUGACCUCCACCUCCACCACCAUGGCCACUUUGUUCAUGAGCCUGUUUGGAGAUGGCAGUGAUGGCUGGAGAAAGAAGUGGGUUGGUAUCCACAGAACAGGCCAACCUAUCAACUCAAUUAUUAAAAUCCUCCUUAGCCGAGGUUUGGUGCUCUUUGGUGAGCAUUCACCUGGGACACAAAUAUCUUCACCCUUUUUGCCCAUUCAGAGAUGUCUAUUCACAUAUCUCUUCCCCAAAUCCCUUUACCAUCAAUUUUCCAAGUCAUGUUCCGAGUCCCUGGCCAUUAAGCCAAACCAUUAGCCAUCGCCCAUAAAUCAGUAUUUAAUCACACAUCUGGCCAUUUCCCUUCCCGAGCAAAGUGGCCAACUAGGUGCAUUGCUCAAAAUUCCACCCACUGGGAGGAUUUCUCUUCACCACUGUCCCAGGAAGGAGCUGCCAUGCUGCAGCUGUUCACUUUCCGGUGGUACCCACAUACCAUGCACAACCCUCCGUAAACCAGGACUAAAUCUUCUCUUCCACAGAUUGGAAAGACCUCCCCGUAAGUCCAUAGGUGCAGACUGGGAAAAAGAAGUCAGUGCAACAGGAGUGGGGACCAUUGGCGUUUGGGCCACUUCUUCAUGUAACUUACCGUGUCUUCAGGACCUGCUUAGACCCAAUCACCUACAUUCCACCUACAUUCGAUGAUGGAGUACUGCUACGCAUGCUCAACUUCACAGUUUUGUGGCUCAGGUAACACCCAGUUCAUGUUAGGCAGCUCAGGUCACAUGGUAACUUGGUGGCCCAUGGCUAAGAC